rnacentral:rRNA from 1 species
CUGUACGGCCACACCUCCCUGAGCACGCCCGAUCUCGUCCUGAUCGUCGGAAGCUAAGCAGGGUCGGGCCCGGUUAGUACUUGGAUGGGAGACCGCCUUGGAAUACCAGGGUGCUGUAAGCC